CCCUUAGAUGUCCUGGGCCGCACGCGCGCUACACUGACGAUGUCAGAGAGUGUCUCCUUCACCGAGAGGUGUGGGUAAUCUUUUAAACAUCGUCGUGCUGGGGAUAGAUCAUCGCAAUUUUUGAUCUUAAACGAGGAAUUCCUAGUAAGCGCGAGUCAUCAGCUCGCGCUGAUUACGUCCCUGCCCUUUGUACACACCGCCCGUCGCUACUACCGAUUGAAUGGUUUAGUGAGGCCUUCUGACUGGCGCCGCUACUCUGGCAACAGAGCGGCGGAUGCCGGGAAGUUGGUCAAACUUGAUCAUUUAGAGGAAGUAAAAGUCGUAACA
rnacentral:rRNA from 1 species